rnacentral:rRNA from 1 species
AUUGAACGCUGGCGGCAUGCUUUACACAUGCAAGUCGAACGGUAACAGGCCGCAAGGUGCUGACGAGUGGCGAACGGGUGAGUAAUGCAUCGGAACGUGCCCAGUCGUGGGGGAUAACUACUAGAAAGAGUAGCUAAUACCGCAUACGAUCUAUGGAUGAAAGCGGGGGACCGUAAGGCCUCGCGCGAUUGGAGCGGCCGAUGUCAGAUUAGGUAGUUGGUGGGGUAAAGGCUCACCAAGCCAACGAUCUGUAGCUGGUCUGAGAGGACGACCAGCCACACUGGGACUGAGACACGGCCCAGACUCCUACGGGAGGCAGCAGUGGGGAAUUUUGGACAAUGGGCGCAAGCCUGAUCCAGCAAUGCCGCGUGCAGGAAGAAGGCCUUCGGGUUGUAAACUGCUUUUGUACGGAACGAAACGGCUCUGGUUAAUACCCGGGGCUAAUGACGGUACCGUAAGAAUAAGCACCGGCUAACUACGU